rfam:Camelus ferus unplaced genomic scaffold scaffold699, whole genome shotgun sequence.
GAGGGGAUAGCUCAGUGGUAGAACGCAUGCUCAGCAUGCACACGAUCCUGGGUUCAAUCCCCAGUACCUCCA